UACGUAGGGGGCUAGCGUUGUCCGGAAUCAUUGGGCGUAAAGCGCGCGUAGGCGGCCAGAUAAGUCCGGUGUGAAAGCCACAGGCUCAACCUGUGAAUGCCGCUGGAAACUGUCUGGCUAGAGUCCGGGAGGGGCGAGUGGAAUUCCUGGUGUAGCGGUGAAAUGCGCAGAUAUCAGGAGGAACACCAAUGGCGAAGGCGGCGAUCCUGGACCGGUAUUGACGCUGAGGAGCGAAAGCUAGGGGAGCAAACAGG
rnacentral:rRNA from 1 species